rnacentral:rRNA from 1 species
UACCAGACUCCUACGGGAGGCAGCAGUGGGGAAUAUUGCACAAUGGGGGAAACCCUGAUGCAGCGACGCCGCGUGAGCGAUGAAGUAUUUCGGUAUGUAAAGCUCUAUCAGCAGGGAAGAAGAUGACGGUACCUGACUAAGAAGCCCCGGCUAACUACGUGCCAGCAGCCGCGGUAAUACGUAGGGGGCAAGCGUUAUCCGGAUUUACUGGGUGUAAAGGGAGCGUAGACGGCGGCGCAAGCCAGAUGUGAAAGCCCGGGGCUCAACUCCGGGACUGCAUUUGGAACUGUGUGGCUGGAGUGUCGGAGAGGCAGGCGGAAUUCCUAGUGUAGCGGUGAAAUGCGUAGAUAUUAGGAGGAACACCAGUGGCGAAGGCGGCCUGCUGGACGAUGACUGACGUUGAGGCUCGAAAGCGUGGGGAGCAAACAGGAUUAGAUACCCGCGUACG